rnacentral:misc_RNA from 1 species
GUUUCAUACGGGCCAAUGGUGACAUCCAACUUGGAGUCCAACUCCAUCCAAGCAAUAUCUGAAUCAUAAUAGUCAUUUGAAAGAAAAGCAUCAGCCUUGCUAUGAAGAAGUCUCUUUAAACUAGAUGAGCUGGUCUUAUCUCCUGCUUUACGAAGCAAGGUCGCUGCUUCAGCAAGAAGAGAGUUGUACUCUUGAGAAUAAGGAACCACAUACAGAUCUUGAGGAGAGCUAGUGACAUUUCCCAUUUUUUGGGAUACUGAAUCUUCAGACAAUGAUUCACUAUGCCUUCUAAUAACAUUGAAAAAGCCCAUUGCUUCUUCCUGUUUAUCUUGUUG